UGAUUUGUGACGUUUCUUAAUCUAUGAUUUCUGUAAUUGUGUCUCAAGGUUGUUAAGGUAGCAGAUUUUGGCAUUGCUCGGUUCCAAAAUCAAGGGGGUGUGAUGACAGCAGAGACUGGUACAUACCGAUGGAUGGCCCCUGAGGUUAUUAAUCAUCAACCAUACGAUCAGAAAGCAGACAUAUUCAGUUUUGCUAUUGUUCUGUGGGAGCUUGUCACCGCUAAGGUUCCAUAUGAUACGAUGACUCCUUUACAAGCUGCCCUGGAGUG